ACUAAUGAGGUAUUUUCAUCACUUUUAAAACAUGAUUUAGCUUAUUGCAUAUAGAUAUUGUUGGACCUGCUAUUCCACACGCAUAUAGAUUUUGUUGGACCUCCUACCCCAGUUUGUUGAUCUUUGAAUUAUAUGUUUAUGGAUUGCAGAACGGUGUUUAAAUAGCCAUCCAAAGCAACAUCCUACAAUGGCUGAGGUUAUGGUCGGACUCAAUUCUAUACUAUUUUUACAAGAGAAAACCAAUAAUACAUUGCACCUUGCAAGCAUGACCAUAUUCGGUAGAAAGAUGCCAAUGUUUCUCUUCCAUUCAAAUGGGGAAAACCAAGGUGUCACUGGUGACUGGAUUCUUCAUUUUGUUAAAUAAACUUUAGAAAGGUAUGAACACAUCACUCUGCAAACAAUGUUGGUAUUCCGUCUUUCAGAAGAACUUCAUCCCUCUUCUGUUGCUCUAGUUGUGACUUAGAUGUCACAGACUCUAUACAUUAUUAUAAUUUAUACAAAACAAGUUAAGUA